rnacentral:rRNA from 1 species
GACAGAGGUGCCAAGCGUUAGGCGGAAUCACUGGGCUUAAAGCGUGUGUAGGCGGGUUUGUAAGUACCUUGUGAAAUCCCACGGCUCAACCGUGGAACUGCUGGGUAUACUGCGAAUCUUGAGCCACUUAGGGGCAACCGGAACAAACGGUGGAGCGGUGAAAUGCGUAGAUAUCAUUUGGAACGCCAAUGGUGAAAACAGGUAGCUGGGGCUGUGCUGAUGCUGAGACACGAAAGCCAGGGGAGCAAACGGG